GGAUAACCGUGGUAAUUCUAUGGCUAAUACAUGCGCAAAUAUCCUUUUUCGCAAGGAAGAGGAUAGUGUUUAUUAGAUACAGAACCAAUACACCAGUGUCACAGCUGGUGUGAAAAAGGUGAUUCAUAGUAACCGAACGGAUCGCAUUAUGGUCAUUCUUUUGUAAUGGCUGGCGAUAGAUCAUUCAAGUUUCUGACCUAUCAGCUUUCGACGGUAGUGUAUUGGACUACCGUGGCAGUGACGGGUAACGGGGAAUUAGGGUUCGAUUCCGGAGAGGGAGCCUGAGAAACGGCUACCACAUCUAAGGAAGGCAGCAGGCGCGCAAAUUACCCAAUCCUGACUCAGGGAGGUAGUGACAAGAAAUAACAACACUGGAAAUUUUAUUUCUAGUGAUUGGAAUGAUGGGAAUUUAAACCCCUUUCAGAGUAACAAUUGGAGGGCAAGUCUGGUGCCAGCAGCCGCGGUAAUUCCAGCUCCAAUAGCGUAUAUUAAAGUUGUUGCAGUUAAAAAGCUCGUAGUUGGAUGUCUGCUGGAAGCAAUCAGUCCGCCCUAUUUGUAGGGUGUGCACUUGAUGAAUUCUGGCAUUUUUGUCCCAAUGAUGUAACGGAGCGGUGGUAUUCGGUGAAAGCCGAGUAUCCUGUUUUCCGAUUAUUGGGAUACUGUUACUUUGAGAAAAUUAGAGUGUUUGAAGCAGGCUAAUUGCCUUGAAUACUGCAGCAUGGAAUAACAAUAUAGGAUUUCGGUUCUAUUUUGUUGGUUUCUAGGACUGAAUUAAUGAUUAAUAGGGACAGUUGGGGGCAUUCGUAUUUAACUGUCAGAGGUGAAAUUCUUAGAUUUGUUAAAGACGAACUACUGCGAAAGCAUUUGCC
rnacentral:rRNA from 1 species